UGCCGAUACAAAUGUCGAGUUGUAUGAACAAACUAAUGUCGAUCAAGAAAAAACAAUGUAUAUCAUAUCAAAUGAUGAUGAUGUUGAAAAAAUGUUUGCAAGUGCAAAAAAGCAUGAUGGUCAACGUAUAAAAUUAGUUGUAAAGCGUAGUGAUAAUGUGUCCAUUGGUUUCAGUGAUUCUACGCAGGCUACUCCCAACUUAAGUUAAAAUGUCUUGAAGUAAAAAAGAUACUCACCAAAACCAAAGUUUUUUUACACUUGAAGUGUCUUGUCAAGACGUUUUCAAUCAAGAAGUAAUUGCACUUAAUCAAGAAGUAAUUGCACUUAAUCAAGAAUAAUAACACAAUGUUUCCCAGCUGUAUCAUAUAAUUUACGAACCAUCAGUAAUUUCAAGGUCAAUAUUAGCUUUUCUUACUUACGAUUGUAACAAACAAAAGUAUUAAUUGCAAAA